GACGAACCGAGCGAACGUUAUUCGGAAUCACUGGGCUUAAAGGGCGCGUAGGCGGGCCGCCAAGUCAGGGGUGAAAGCCCCCAGCUCAACUGGGGAAGUGCCUUUGAUACUGGCGGUCUCGAGGGGGAUAGGGGCGUGCGGAACUUCCGGUGGAGCGGUGAAAUGCGCAGAUAUCAGGAGGAACACCGGUGGCGAAGGCGGGUCUCUGGGCCGAUACUGACGCUGAGGAGCGAAAGCGUGGGGAGCGAACAGG
rnacentral:rRNA from 1 species